rnacentral:rRNA from 1 species
UACGGGGGGAGCAAGCGUUGUUCGGAUUUACUGGGCGUAAAGGGCGGGUAGGCGGCCACCGCAAGUCAGUUGUGAAAUCUCCGGGCUUAACCCGGAAAGGUCAACUGAUACUGCGGGGCCAGAGUGCAGAAGGGGCAACUGGAAUUCUCGGUGUAGCGGUGAAAUGCGUAGAUAUCGGGAGGAACACCAGUGGCGAAGGCGACUACCUGGCCUGUUCUUGACGCUGAGGCGCGAAAGCUAGGGGAGCAAACGGG